rnacentral:piRNA from 1 species
UGGGUACGCAAUCGAUCCCGCUGGCCUUC